rnacentral:miRNA from 1 species
CGCUGCAGCCAAUCCUGGAUGGAUAGCACUCUGUGCUGUGCGUUUGGAUGCUGGCGGCGCC